rnacentral:rRNA from 1 species
AUUGAACGCUAGCGGGAUGCUUUACACAUGCAAGUCGAACGAGUGGCGGACGGGUGAGUAAUAUAUCGGAACGUCCCCAGUAGCUGGGGAUAACUACUCGCAAGGGUGGCUAAUACCGCAUACUAUUGACGCGGCCGUUGUCGGAUUAGCUAGGUGGUGGGGUAAAGGAUCACAAAGGCAACGUUCCCUAGCUGGUGUGAGAGGACGACCAGCAACACUGGAACUGAGACACGGCCCAGACUCCUACGGGAGGCAGCAGUGGGGAAUUUUGGACAAUGGGGGAAACCCUGAUCCAGCCAUCCCGCGUGUAUGAGAAGGCCUUCGGGUUGUAAAGUACUUUUGGCAGGGAAGCGGUAUCUGAAGAAUAAGCACCGGCUAACUACGUGCCAGCAGCCGCGGUAAUUC